CCCUUAGACGUUCUGGGCCGCACGCGCGCUACACUGACGAAGGCAACGAGCUUUCCUUUACCGAAAGGUACGGGUAAUCUUUUGAAACUUCGUCGUGCUGGGGAUAGAUCCUUGCAAUUUUUGAUCUUAAACGAGGAAUUCCUAGUAAGCGCAAGUCAUCAACUUGCGUUGAUUACGUCCCUGCCCUUUGUACACACCGCCCGUCGCUACUACCGAUUGAAUGGUUUAGUGAGGCCUUCGGAUCCGCGACUCGUUUUGUGGAGAAGUUGGACGAACUCAGUCAUUUAGAGGAAGUAAAAGUCGUAACA
rnacentral:rRNA from 1 species